rnacentral:rRNA from 1 species
CCUACGGGGGGCAGCAGUGAGGAAUAUUGGUCAAUGGGCGAGAGCCUGAACCAGCCAAGUCGCGUGAAGGAUGACGGCCCUACGGGUUGUAAACUUCUUUUGUCAGGGAGCAAUUGAGUCCACGUGUGGUCGUAGCGAGAGUACCUGAAGAAAAAGCAUCGGCUAACUCCGUGCCAGCAGCCGCGGUAAUACGGAGGAUGCGAGCGUUAUCCGGAUUUAUUGGGUUUAAAGGGUGCGUAGACGGAAUAUCAAGUCAGCGGUAAAGAUUCGGGGCUCAACCCCGUCGUGCCGUUGAAACUGAUGUUCUUGUGUGGGCGAGAAGUAUGCGGAAUGCGUGGUGUAGCGGUGAAAUGCAUAGAUAUCACGCAGAACUCCGAUUGCGAAGGCAGCAUACCAAUCUAUAUCUGACGUUGAGGCACGAAAGCGUGGGGAGCAAACAGGAUUAGAUACCCCUGUAGUC